UGGCUCAGUGAUAGAGCGCUUGCCUUGCAUGCAUGAGGUCCUGGGUUCGAUUCCUCAG
rnacentral:tRNA from 1 species